GCUAAACGCGAAGAACCUUACCUACCUUUGAAUCCACGGAACCUAGCAGAGAUGUUGGGGUGCCUUCGGGAACCGUGAGACAGGUGCUGCAUGGCUGUCGUCAGCUCGUGUCGUGAGAUGUUGGGUUAAGUCCCGUAACGAGCGCAACCCUUGCCAUUAGUUGCUACAUUUAGUUGGGCACUCUAAUGGGACUGCCGGUGACAAACCGGAGGAAGGUGGGGAUGACGUCAAGUCCUCAUGGCCCUUAUGGGUAGGGCUUCACACGUCAUACAAUGGUCGGGACAGAGGGUUGCCAAGCCGCGAGGUGGAGCCAAUCUCAGAAACCCGAUCGUAGUCCGGAUCGCAGUCUGCAACUCGACUGCGUGAAGUCGGAAUCGCUAGUAAUCGCGGAUCAGCAUGUCGCGGUGAAUACGUUCCCGGGUC
rnacentral:rRNA from 1 species